UACGUAGGGUGCAGGCGUUAAUCGGAAUUACUGGGCGUAAAGCGUGCGCAGGCGGUUUGCUAAGACAGGUGUGAAAUCCCCGGGCUUAACCUGGGAACUGCGCUUGUUACUGGCAAGCUGGAGUGUGGCAGAGGGGGGUGGAAUUCCACGUGUAGCAGUGAAAUGCGUAGAGAUGUGGAGGAACACCGAUGGCGAAGGCAGCCUCCUGGGAUAACACUGACGCUCAUGCACGAAAGCGUGGGGAGCAAACAGG
rnacentral:rRNA from 1 species